GGAGAGCUGGCCGAGUGGCUGAAGGCGCACGCUUGGAAAGCGUGUUUACCGCAAGGUAACGUGGGUUCGAAUCCCACGCUCUCCGCCA
rnacentral:tRNA from 1 species